rnacentral:lncRNA from 1 species
CGAGAUUUUUUCUUUUCGUUCACCAAUAGAGAUUCAUUUAUUUAAUUUAAAUUCAGAUUGUUUUUUUAUAUGAAAGAGUGUCUAUGGUCUAUGAAUUAUAUGCUUAAGCUUAACCCAAAUUAAAUUUGUAAUACUUUUAUUUGAGUAAAAAAACAAAUAAAAUGGCAGAGUAGAUCGUAAGAUAUAUAUUUAUAUAGGUUAUGACAUUUUUUUUUUUUUUG